GUGUUGAACAUUGUUGCUGUUUAUUCAACAAUGUAUGAUCACAUGAUCAUGGAAAUGACCAUCGUUUUAAUUUAUUACAGUGUGGUCAGCUGCUGCUGCCAUCCAGGUUAACAUCCCUAACGAUCAGUAUGAGUUCGCCAAAGGAGACAACAUCACACUGCCCUGCACAUUUACAAGCGCUCUACCCAGUCCAAAACUGAUCAUUAUCACAUGGUCUGCUGGUGAAGCCGAGGUUCUCACCUACUAUCAUCCCGAUGGAGACAUAGACAUUCAAUUAGAAGGCCGGGCGUCUCUGGAUGUAAAUGUUAAUGGUGGAACUGGGAGAGCUGACCUUAAGCUUUACUCUGUCACAUCGGCAGACAACAACAAAUAUAAGUGUCAUAUAAAUAUCCCCAAAGACGACAAA